UGCAUACUUCUCCAAAGUGAUAUAUGAAGACUCUUUUCUUUGCAUAAAAGCAUUAGGCAUAUAAAUGUAUAAAUAAAUUUUAUCAUGUACAGUACAAAAAUGGAACAUUCUGCAUGGACGUUAGGAAUACAGGCUAGUAUUUCAGCACAGACCUCCCUGCAUGAGUUCUCGCUGACACUUGCACUGUGCAGUGGGCACCGACUCCCUUCUACCAACACAGACGUGCCACCCCACCCCCUGCACCUACCACCGGCCGCCAGGGGCCCCUUUGUGCACCUUUGCUUUAUGAUUCCUCUAGGGGUGAUAUUGGUGGUGAUAACAGCUCCUAGCAUAAUGAAAGUUCCAUUUGACGUAUUGUCACACGUCUUUCCCGCCUCGCAUGGGUUGUCAUGUUUGAGUGAUGGCCCUGUUGAUUUCACCCUGCCUUUUACUGAAUCUGUAAAUUGUCGUGCAAUUGUGGUUAUAGUAGACUUGUAGCAAUAUUGCCUUUUCUAAACUGCUACACGUUUGUAAUCUUCAUUUUAAAAGUAUGUAUAAUUUUUAAAAAUAUGUAUUCUAUUCACGUGGUCUGCUUGUCAGUGAGACAGACUUUUGCUUACUGUAUUCCUUUAUAAUAAUGCUAGCCGCUUCCUUGAUUCCUUGGUAGUCUACUAUAUGCAGGAACUGUUGAGCAUCCGUGAAAGAAGGCUACCUCUCUGGGUUUCUAAGAAAUGCUGCCCUGGGUGGGGAUACAGUUUAGAGGCAGCCACAGCAGCUGUGGGGACCGAAGGGUAUAGGGGUAUCAGGUACUAGGAAAAUCCGGAGGGCUUACAGGAGUAGAGCCCAGAGAAUUUCUCUCCUGAACUCAAAUAAAAAAAAAAAAAAAGUAAACUAACAAAAAUAUCUAUUUGCCUUUGCAGUUUUAUAGACCCUGAUUGCCACCUUGGCAGUAAGAAGAGCAACCCUCAAAUAUGUUUCGACUUUAAAAUGUUGAAUUCCUUUCAGACAUGUGGCAUCUCAUUUAUUCUCCUUUUUUCUCAGUGUUUGUUAGAUUUUAGGCAGAAUGUCUGACAGAAUGUCCUAGAGCCAGAUUAUAAUUUAAUCUAAAACAGCUGAGGGAGGGACAGGAGGUAUGAGAACAGGGCUGCCACAGAACACGUCAAGAAUAUGGAGGGGAAGGGGUGCUUUGAAUUUGUGUGUUUUUUUGUUUUUUAAUGCAAAUAGCAUCUACGUGUAGAGCAUUGUGGAGAGUCGAGAUCAGGACAAAGUCCAGUGCCAGCAUGAGUUCCAGGUGGGAGUCAGGCAAGAGCGGAACAGUUAGGCCUAUCCAGGAUCACAGCAGCACUUUUAGCCAUGGCCACUGCCAGCUGGCCCUCCACCUGGAGGCCAGGCUCCCUGAGACUCGCUGGGUUCUUAGGUGGUCAGACGGGGCAGAGGUACGACCUGACCUCCAUUUCUUAUACUGAGACUGCUUUCAGGAAGGCCCACCAUGUGGCGUUCUGGGUGUCAUGGGUCCUUCUCAGUAAGCUUUCUGAUCUGGAGCCUCUCAGUGGAAUACUUAGUAGGCUCCGGGGGCCCGGCAGCUGUAAUGUUUGCAUCCUGAUGAGAACUAUUCCAGGCUGUCCUCAGCCUCUAAAUAAGCUGCUCUAGGGAGCCUUCCACUUUCUGAUGGGAAAUUAGAAGAGUAACUAAUGUUGAAAACAUGACAUGUACUCUGGGGUUCUGUUCUCCCUUCAGGUCUCCAGAACCAGAUACCUUUUACCAAAGUCAGAAAAGAGCUUUAUCGUAAGCCUUCACUGUCCUGGUGUGAGAACAGACUGCCAGGUUCAGCGUACCCAUUAACUGUGAAUGAAUCUGA
rnacentral:lncRNA from 1 species